rnacentral:lncRNA from 1 species
UUAGGGUCAUCCCCAUACCCCAUCCGGUAUGGGCGCCAAAAUCAUAAACCUCAAUACCCCGUCUGAUAUGAUGGUGAAAUGGGCCAUCCCCAUACCCCGUCCGGUACGGGCACCAAAACAUAUAAAGUUUCCAUACCCCAUCCGAUAUGAGAGACCACGUUCCCGGUAGGGUUCUCUAUGGACCCGGUCUGUCCACCAUUUUCCAAGAUAUCUAGUAAGCCUGUCGACUUAUCCACUUAUAAAUUCACAUACCAUCCUUAUUUUUCUUAGUCUCAAUUACCCAAUCAACAUAAAUACGUAAACC